rnacentral:ncRNA from 1 species
CGAUAGAGGUGCGGAUUUUAUGACAAGCCGACAACGCAGACCACGUUGCGGUGGCAAAGGGAAAUCCGCCGAAAGAAGGAUAUGUUCGGUCUGGAGCAAUCGUUCUUGGGACAACGCAGAAUAUGCGUUGUACUGUCACCGCAAGGUGGAGCGCUAUC